ACAGGGAUUGCCCUAGUAACGGCGAGUGAAGCGGCAACAGCUCAAAUUUGAAAUCUGGCUCUUUUAGAGUCCGAGUUGUAAUUUGCAGAGGGCGCUUUGGCUUUGGCAGCGGUCCAAGUUCCUUGGAACAGGACGUCACAGAGGGUGAGAAUCCCGUACGUGGUCGCUGGCUAUUGCCGUGUAAAGCCCCUUCGACGAGUCGAGUUGUUUGGGAAUGCAGCUCUAAAUGGGAGGUACAUUUCUUCUAAAGCUAAAUAUUGGCCAGAGACCGAUAGCGCACAAGUAGAGUGAUCGAAAGAUGAAAAGCACUUUGGAAAGAGAGUCAAACAGCACGUGAAAUUGUUGAAAGGGAAGCGCUUGCAGCCAGACUUGCUUGCAGUUGCUCAUCCGGGCUUUUGCCCGGUGCACUCUUCUGUAGGCAGGCCAGCAUCAGUUUGGGCGGUAGGAUAAAGGUCUCUGUCACGUACCUCUCUUCGGGGAGGCCUUAUAGGGGAGGCGACAUACUACCAGCCUGGACUGAGGUCCGCGCAUCUGCUAGGAUGCUGGCGUAAUGGCUGUAAGCGGCCCGUCUUGAAACACGGACCAAGGAGUCUAACAUCUAUGCGAGUGUUUGGGUGUCAAGCCCGAGCGCGUAAUGAAAGUGAACGGAGGUAGGACCCCGCAAGGGUGCACUAUCGACCGAUCCUGAUGUCUUCGGAAGGAUUUGAGUAAGAGCAUGGCUGUUGGGACCCGAAAGAUGGUGAACUAUGCUUGAAUAGGGUGAAGCCAGAGGAAACUCUGGUGGAGGCUCGCAGCGGUUCUGACGUGCAAAUCGAUCGUCAAAUUUGGGCAUAGGGGCGAAAGACUAAUCGAACUAUCUAGUAGCUGGUCU
rnacentral:rRNA from 1 species